rnacentral:tRNA from 1 species
GGGCGGUUAGCUCAGUUGGCCAGAGCGCCGCGUUGACAUCGCGGAGGUCACAAGUUCAAGUCUUGUACCGCCCA